rnacentral:sRNA from 1 species
UGUCCUCCAUUUGUUGCGGGCAAAUGAAAUGGAUGUGGCUGUCCAUGCCGCCCGCCGUCAGGAUACGGCCCUCGCCGGCAAUGGCCUCUGUGCCGGGGCCGACGAUGAUAUCAACACCGUCUUGCGUGUCGGGAUUGCCCGCCUUGCCGAUCUUAUGGAUCAACCCGUCGCGCAGACCCACGUCGGCCUUGUAGAUGCCCGUAUGGUCCACGAUCAGCGCAUUGGUGAUGACCGUAUCAACGGCCCCCUCGGCGCGGGUGGUCUGCGCCUGCCCCAUGCCGUCGCGGAUG